CGGAGCCAAUCAGCAGGUCUGCAUGGAGGUAUAGACGCAGGGGGUGGGACGCAGCGCUCCGCAUCCGGUGGCAGGGUCUGGGGAAGGGGCGGUAGGCGCCAUGUCGGGCCGCGAAGGUGGCAAGAAGAAGCCCCUGAAGCAGCCCAAGAAACAGGCCAAGGAGAUGGACGAGGAAGAUAAGGCAUUCAAGCAGAAACAAAAGGAGGAGCAAAAGAAACUCGAGGAGCUAAAAGCGAAGGCCGCGGGGAAAGGCCCCUUGGCCACCGGUGGAAUUAAGAAAUCUGGCAAAAAGUAAACUGUUCCAUUGUGCCUGAGGCAAUGAUGAUUCCAUUCCUGUUUAAACAUCUGGAUUCCCUGCUAUAACAUCUUUUGCCACCUAUAGCUAGAAUGAAGUGUUGUCUUGGAACCUAUUGUACAUUUAAGAAUAAACUUUUGUAAAAAAAAAAAAAGAAAGAAAAAAAAGCAGUGACUCAUUUCAUCUUUGGUUCUUUUCAGUCAUUUCUACCUUGGCUAUGAGAUAUAAACCUAGCCCAGAAUCCUGCCAAAGUGCAUUCUUUAAGGCAUUGUGCUAUCCCAAAUUCUGUACCACCUGGAAUUAAACCAACUCAUUUGAAAUGGC